CCGAUCUCAAGUGAUUCUCAUGCCUCAGCCUCCUGAGUAACUGGGAUUACAGUUGUUUGUAGUAAGAGAACUCCCAUUUUCAUCAGUGGAACUGGACAACUACACUGGUCCAAUUCAGGCAAAUGGAUAGAGUUCACAGCACCAAACCAGCAGCCACAGGAAAUUAAUAUAACUGCGAAGGAAAAGAUUUCCCCUGCUCGAGUCUCCCUGCACUCCUACCCAUCUGAGAGAAACAGAACUGUUGAGUAGCUGAUGCAAUUUCAUCCAUAAUAUUGUGGAUUCACCAUUGAUUCAGCAUCUGAUCCUCAGCACUGUAUAUCUAAGAACUCAUUCUCCUUGGUUCAUCAGGCAUGAUCAGAUUAAGGAUUCAUACACACUGACCUAACUCACAGGAGAGAGUUAUAAAUCAGAACACCAAUUUAUUGCCUUGUUCAUGGAAAUAGAAACACUACAUGUGUCAGCUUACUCAGAUCAGCAGCUAAACACUGUUCAGUGUUGAUUGGGAAAUAUAAAGCCAGAAUGAAGGCAGCUGGUUCAUCUUGAUAGCAAAUGUUACCAAAUCUCAUAGUCUGGUGCCCUAAUCUCCAUGGGAUUAGAACAUGUACAUCGACCAGAGAGGUUCUCUUUCUCCUGACUAUGCUGGGACAUUCUGGCAAAUUCUGACUCAUCACUCCCUUUCUAGAAUCCUUAAAGACCAUCAUCACGCUAUUUCAAGAAUAUUCCUUCAGAUGUGUUACAAAGAUUAAAUGUUGAUUUAUGGUAUCUCUAAAGAUUUGGAUUGUAGUCUCAUCAGAAAUAUUUAUUUAUAAGCCAUCUCUUCAUUCACUCGUUGAUUCAUCCAGAAAUGCUAUUCAGUAUUUAUUAAGUGCCAGGCGUUGUGCUAAGAUUUGAGACACAGAGAUAAGAUAAAGGUCCCAUUCUCCAAGACUCUUGUUUUUUUAGUGGAUUAAAAGCUGCUAAUGUAUUCCUUCUGUAGAUAUACAUAAUUUCACCAAUUUCUUGUGACUUCAUGAACCUUAUUUUUGCAAGACAACAUGUCCUAAUUCUUGUCAAAUUUAGGGAUGGUGGUAUUGGGGAGCUACAAACCAGUCAAAUCAAUUCAAUGAAAAAUCCUAUUAUUUGAACAAUUUUAAUCACAUCUGAUUUUGACUAUUUUAUCUAAGUGUUAACAUUUCACUAGUUGAGUGUUACAAUGAGCCUAGCAUUUAAACAGUCUUAGUUAUGUUAACAUUCUUAAAAACAGAGAAGUGGCAGCCAGGCACGGUGGCUCAUGCCUGUAAUCCCAGCACUUUGGGAGGCCGAGGCGGGCGGACGCCUGAGGUCAGGAGUUCAAGACCAGCCUGACCAACACGGAGAAACCUCGUCUCUACUAAAAAUACAAAAUUA
rnacentral:lncRNA from 10 species